UCUUCUGUAUUCUCACAUGCAUUACAGACGACAGGAAUUAAUGUUUUUUUCUUUUUCUUUUUUUUUUGUCUUCAGCACAAUCAGGUGGCCAUGACAGGAUUAUGAGACACCAAUGAGGCCUGCAAAAGCAGCCAAAAUAUCUUCAGAUCUGAACUCAUUGAUGACCACUUCAGAACUCUCCAGCGUUUUGUCUUAAGCCAUUUUUGUGGGCUUUUUGAAGUAUGUUGUGGGUCGUUGUCCUGCUGAAAGACCCAUUACCUCUGACGGAGACCCAGCUUUCUGACAAUGGGCCCUACAUUAUGCCCCAAAAAUAUUUGGUAGUCAUCAGAUUUCAUGAUGCCAUGCACACAGUCAAAGCAUCCUGUACAAGAAGCAGAAAAGUUACCCCAAAUUAUCAGUGAACCUAUACCAUGUUUGACUGUAGGGAUAGUGUUCUUUUCUUUGAAGGCCUCAUUUAGUUUUCUGUUAACAGUGUGAUGAUGUGCUUUACCAAAAAGCUCCACUUUAGUCUCAUCUGUCCACAGGACGUUCUCCCAGAAGGAUUUUGGCUUCCUCAGCUAAGGGACCUUUGAGAAGCCCUUUUCUGAGGUCCAAGAGUGAAGAUGAAGGCACAGUUUCAUUUUCAGCAGUUUUUAAAAUUAGAGCAGAGGCAGCAAAUCAUACUGCCGCACGCUUGGCGCGCAAAUCAAAGUGAAGACGGGAUUCAAAUUAAUGAACACAGAAGACGUAAAGCCUACUUGCUUUCUUGGGACUGGAACAAAAAACACUUAUUUGCCGCCCUUUGCUAGGCGUGGGUGCUGGAAAAGUGCAGGAAAGCGAGAAAAGCCCUUUUUUUUUUUAAAAUUGCAAUAAGUCUUCUAUGUAGUUUGUCACCUUCUUGAUGUGUGCACAGGGAGCAGACUCCCAAAAAUUGUACAAAUAUUGUAUUGUGUUGUCAUCCAUCAUUUACAUGCAGUCCAUGCAGUAUUUCCAUAUAAAAUUAUCCUGCAUGAUCUUUCUGACUGUAAUUUAAACAAACUUUUUUUUCCAGUCCAUCUUCAACCCAAAAGUUGUCUUCAAAGUAUCAGUUAGUCAGGUCCACAUUCAUCUGCUCCAUCAAGAGUUGACUUUAACUAAUUGAACAAAAUACCAAAUAACUGAAAAACAAUUAAUGUAUUAUCAUUGUAUAAAAAUUAUUUAUUACACUUUAUGUUAGUGUUUUGAGCAGUAAAACAUUGUUUUGGGGAAUUUCAGCUGCCAAGAAACAAUACAUUUUAUUUUAAAUACCUUCCAGAUUGCAAAUAAUGUUUCUUUUUAUUCUGCAAAAACCAGAACACUCUGUAGAGGGGCUUCGAAAGAUCAUACAGUUUUGGUGUGGGAAUAUAAAAACAUUCACUAUAAAGCUUUUGAUUAUUAUUUAUUUUUUUACCAUUUAUAAGUGAAUAAUUUCAACAGCAAAAUUGACAAUUCACACUCAGUGUUUAUUGGUGCUAUAUUACAGCUUUGCUACAAAAUAUAAGAUGACAUUUUUUUCCCUCCAAGAUACAGUAGGUUGUUUUGUAUUUGGAGCUUAGAUGUAUAGAGCAAACCAGUAGGUUAUUAUACUUGUAUUAUAGAGGACCUACGAUGAUUUUAGUCUGCAUUUUAAACAUUUCCUCGUGGUCUCGACCAGUGUUUCUAAAACAUUUGCCCAUUGUCAGGCCACCAAAAAUAUCUGUAUCUCAGCUGUGGUCUGUAAAGUACGCAGCAGCAGUACCUAGUUUUAACACACUUUUCAACACGUCUGGAUGUAACGACAAUGUCAAACACAGUAAAAGUCUGGAGAUAAAGUCAGAGAAGUUUGUUUAACGCAAAUAUUAUGACUAAAGGGGUGAAGCCGUAUUUUCAAUUUCACUUUAAUUUUAUUCACAGUUCGUAGUUCUAUGUUAAUUUCAUUUUGAGUCCCUUAUUUUAAACUAAGCCUUGGUAAUCUUUGUGAUUAACAUGCUUUCAUAUUGUUUGACAAGGUUUAUCCUGAUAUAAUUAUUGAAUAUGAUUAAAAUCAAGAGUAAAAUUACUAAUUUAGUGUUAUUGAGUGGGCCCCAGACUCCUCUACAGUGGAAAAGUUGGGGCCCCGAGGUCAAAAAGGUUAAGAACCCCCGGUCUAGUUAAAAUGUAUUGGAUAUGCUGUUUUGUAGCCUGAAACAGUUGAGAGCUUGAUCUAUUUUCUAAAUAAGUAUGUACACCUCGCUGUGAUGUCACAAUGUAGUCUGUGCAAAACCCCACAAACAUCGGCAUAUAAAACUGCAUGCAAGCUCACACUAAAAUGCAUGAAUCUUAUGAUUUAAUGCUUUGGCAUUGUUUAACACGAGUAUCCAACAUUGUAACAUUUAUAAGUCAGAAAAGAAAACAUUCAUCAUAGGUCCCCUUCAAAAACAACAUUUCAGUUAAAGUUUGUUUUUGGACUACUUUUUCAAUACUUUAUUUUGUCCAAAAACAGGACUUGAACAGGAUAUAUAUUCAGGUUUAUUUAUACGCUGGUCAAUACGGUAUUUCCGUUUUUGGGCUCAGUUCAAUAUGCAUUUUUGUCAUUUUUUUUUUUAUUUCAACAACACAAACUGUGCAGCGUGUGACAAAAAAGAAACGAUCCAAGUUCUAAAAAUUCCACGCACAAACAUCCUAUGAGGCGCAACACGAUGGGUGAAACGAUGGUGUUGACAUCAACACCUCUUUGCUUUUUGACAUGAUGGCCUGAGUUGCUCAAUGUUCUCGCUUAAUCCAAAUAGAAAUGUUCAUUGUCUAUUUAUUUUCAGUGGCCUUCGCAGUUAAAGCACAAAAAGGUGUCUUGAUUGACGUACAGCCGACAGCACUCCCUCUUAGCGUUUAAAGGACAAACCUGCAUUGGUACGCUUGCAACUGGGCAGCCUCUGCUUGCGUGUGUGCUUCUUGUCCGUCUUUUUACUAUUUUUUAUUUCGGCCUCCCAGUGCUUCUUCACCAGCGUGUACAGCCUCAUGGUGGCCUGGGCAUCCUGGACCUGCAAGAACCAUUUCACCUUAUUACAUUCCUGACACACGUGGACUUUGAAUCAAAUGACAUGAUGACUUACAGAGGAAUGUUCACCCUGCUGAACCUUGACAUUGAGUAUUCUCUUGCAAAGUACCCUCAACGCGGGGCACUUACUCUGAAAGAGGAAACAUGUAUGACAUUCUGUCUGAUGACGAUGAUGAUGAUGAAAAGAUUUGAUCUGUUGAUACCCUGACGGUCUUCCUGAAGGGUUUAUACUUCUGAGUGUCACGGGUUUUCUUUUUUGGGUGAUCAAGAAGCAAAAUCUGUAACAAUAGAAAAUGUAAAUCUUUAAACUGACUUCAAAAUAAAAGUAUUUGAAUUAUACAAAGGAAAGACAGUGAGAUAAAAGGUAAUUGAUGAAUGACCCGACAACUUUGUGUGUUUAAGGUAUUUUUUCACAUCACACUCAU